UGGGGAAUCUUGCGCUAAUGCGGGAAACCGUGACGCAGCGACGCCGCGUGAGGGAAGAAGGCCUUCGGGUUGUAAACCUCUUUCAGGAGGGACGAAGCUACUCGGGUGAAUAGCCCAGAGGGUGACGGUACCUCCAGAAGAAGCCCCGGCUAACUACGUGCCAGCAGCCGCGGUAAUACGUAGGGGGCAAGCGUUGUCCGGAUUUAUUGGGCGUAAAGAGCGUGUAGGCGGCUAGGUAGGUCCGUUGUGAAAACUCGAGGCUCAACCUCGAGACGCCGGUGGAAACCAUCUAGCUAGAGUCCGGAAGAGGAGAGUGGAAUUCCUGGUGUAGCGGUGAAAUGCGCAGAUAUCAGGAAGAACACCCGUGGCGAAGGCGGCUCUCUGGUACGUGACUGACGCUGAGACGCGAAAGCGUGGGGAGCGAACAGGAUUAGAUACCCUGGUAGUCCACGCCGUAAACGAUGGGUGCUAGGUGUGGGCGGUGUCGACUCCGUCCGUGCCGAAGCUAACGCAUUAAGCACCCCGCCUGGGGAGUACGGCCGCAAGGCUAA
rnacentral:rRNA from 1 species